GCCUUCGUGGUGGUGUUGUCUGCGUGUUCGACCCGUAACCGAGAGGUCCGUGGUUCGAUUCCCGGCGAAGGCG
rnacentral:tRNA from 1 species